UCAGCCAAGUGCAUUAACAGU
rnacentral:piRNA from 1 species